UCAUGAUCUGAGCUGAAGGCAGACGUUUAACUGACAGAGCCACCCUGGUGCCCCUGAUCGUCUGGCUUUAUGACAAAAAACUUGUUUACAAAACAGGGAAAACUAAUGUCUAGUACUUUACAGAUUACAUCGUUUCUUCCUUGCCCAAUCUGAAGAGUGGCGUUCUGUGUGAUAGACCCUGGAAACCAUGUUGCUAUAGAAGAGGUGCAGAAGGAGAAAAGAGAAAUCAGCCAGAUUACACUAGAAAUUGCCUCGAAGACAGAGGGACCAGAAAGGGAGGUAACCCCUGGAGAGCAAUGUGAUUUCCUGGCCUCUAUGUUCUUAUCACUGUUUCACCUCUCCAUACAGGUCUGUGGUUUGGCAGUGGCUAAGCAUGAAGGCCUUGCAGUGGCAGUCAGUCUUAAUGGACCCUAACAGAGCUAGACAAGAUUGAUCCCGAGUUCUCAUUGCCCAGUCUAUGGAAUUUCUAAUGACCUUGCAAGGUUUCUGUGAAUUCCUGGGAGAUUAUGCUCUUUAGUGACCACCUUGGCUCUAUAUUCCUGUUUCUACGGAAUUAAUUCAGUUAUGGAUUAUCUUUCUUUUCCGUGUAGGAAGUCUCUGUUUUGUAUCUUGAUGACUCAUAGAUAGAAUUCAAUCUAUUUAAGGUUUGGAGUGGUGGGGGAUUUAGAACUUAAUAAAAUUAAUUCUGGAUAUUAGAUACCCUUGUUGGUAAAAGGGCCCUUAGCCAUUUUUCUGCCUGUGUUCAAACUGUGUCUCCUUUAUUCUUGACUCAUGCCCCCAAAUUUCUAAUCCUAUCAAGGUGAAAAUUUUAGCACUCUUUUACUGUCUUUUCCCCAAGGACCUCAUGCCUCAGGUCUUACUUUCUAUCCCACAGCAGUACCUCCUGGUAUGUUUUUUACAGACAUGAUUUUCCAAAACAUGGCAGGCACCCCUCUGAACUCCCUGCAAGAGAAUGUGCUGCAGGAGCACAGACCACAGGUAGCUUCCAACUGCCAAACCUUUGUCUCCACUGUGGCAUUCACAUUGAGGCUGUGCUUCCCCAAGCUUCCCCCAGCCAAUGACUCCACAGGGUUAGCACACUGGAGUGGUCAUUCUUGCCUGAUGUGGGAUUUCUCCAUCUGAGUCCCUGGAGCUUUACUCAGGGACCUGGCCAAGACUUUCUCAGAACUCUACUGUUUAUCCUGGAAAUUCUUCCUCUAGUCUCCUCUUGUCAUCGUCAGAUCUUCAUCAUAACCUGAAGGUCCUCCUCACCUACUCCUCCCUUCUCUGCUUUAUCCUUCCCAUCUUUCUCCCCAGUAAGUCUGUUGCACAUACAAUUCCAUCUGCUUCUUGGAAGACCUGAACUGAAAUACUCCGUAAGAAGAACCAUGAUGCCAGCACUUUAAGAGCAUCAUUUUUAACCACUCUGCUACACAAGUAUAAUUAUGGACUGUCUUUGCUGAUAAUAUUGGAUAUUAUGAAUUAUAUCUAUUUGUAUAUAACAGGUAUACAUUCCUCCAUGACAACCAGAUUAAACUUGGUUUAAGGCCCAAUCACUAAAAUCAAGUAACAGUCAGUCUUCAGAACCUACUUCUCGAUCCUAAGCUAAAUAAGGAAGAAGUCCUGAUUCUCAGUCUGUGUUUGCAUCAGAAAUCACUUCUUGGUCCAUUCAAAGGCUAGUGGUUGUUCUAAAGCCUCGACUCUAGUAGUGCCCCAUUAUUAAUAAGGGCUGUUGGAGCCCUACAGACAAGGCACUUAGUGCCUGUUCCAUAUAGACAUCCCUGCAAUCUUCCCCAUUUGCAACCCAUAAACUGAGUCUUCUGAACCUUAUAAAUUAUCCUGCAAUUCUUCUGGCAGUGUUUAGGAAUAUAUCCAUCUUCUAAAAUGGAAUUAUUCUCCUCUACUUUUGAAGUCCUCUUCCUUAAUUUUCUCCCUUAAUGUAUCCUUUGAAAACAAAGAUCUACAUAGUUGACCUCAGUGAUAAGCCCAUCAGUGACACAAAGACUUGUUUAUUCUUCUGGGACCAGAGGGUACUGGUGGAUAACUUUUAGUCAAAGACUGAUAGAACAAGACAGCUAAUUUACAAGAAGUUACUUUGCCCUGUCAAAUUUUUAAUAAAUCAACCUGCUAUAUACAUUUUCUCCGUUAUAUCUCCUUGAUGGUGGACGUUUGAGGGGGAAAAAAAAAUCUGGUAGUAUCAUAGCUUUGAGUCCCAUGAAGCCCCUCCUAGUACAAAUCGCUUUUUCUAACAACCAUUUGGUAGGUGUUUAUUCUUAGCAUUUUUGCCACAGUUGGGCAGAGGAAGAAUUAGUAAACAAUAGAGACUAUUACAUCCAAAAGAGACCUUGGAUAUUGAGUAGUUCAUUGCUUCCAACUUUACAGAUAAACAAAUGCUGAUCCAUCGUGGUCAGGUAUUGGUCCAAGAACAUACAGUCAACAUUAAGGCAACAACUCAGUUUAAGUCUUCCUGGCCCAAAGGUGUGGAGAGAUACAUGAGAAGUGGUGAAGCAAAUGAGGAGGGAUGGGGCCUAAUGUGUGUCCCAAGAAGAGGAGACACCAUGUUUGAAAACCCAGAAGUCAGUGAGAAUGUGGUGUGUUCCAGAAACCAACUGAAGCCCACACAACACAAUGAUGAAAGGCAAGCUUUGACUAAAGGGAUAUCUUCGGUUGAAAGAGGAAAUGGAAAAGAUCUAUCACUGAAGAAAGCUGAGUAUACUACAGAGGCAGGCACGAAGAACCACCCAAACAAAGACAAGAAUGAGGAGCAAGAGAAUUGAGAAGAAGGCUGGAAUGAGGCCUGAAAGUGUCCCGCAUCCAACCACCGAGGACAACUGUGUUUUGGGACAUGAAGAAUCUGGCACAGGCAGCCUGACAUCAUAGUGCGGUACAAAUUGCUUCCACCUUAUUUUUAUUUCCCAUAUAUAUUACGAAACACUUCCUUUAAAAAAAAUAAAAUAAAAAGGUGGCUCUCUUUGCCUAUGCAAACUAUUCUAAUUCAAGGACCCAACCGCCACACAUGGGAGAUGGCCUAGAAUACAAGUUCAGUUUCAAACACUUGAAAGUGGGGCAAGGGGGCCUCCUUUUCUCUCUAGGAGCACCCCUGCCAAC